rnacentral:ncRNA from 13 species
UUAAUGAUGAUAGCAUGAUUUAUGUUGCUCGAAGUUAAUCGAUGUGAGCACAAUGAUUUCUCAAGACUACAACGGUAUCUGAAU